CACAGGCUGCUUGUUGUGAAGAACAGAAAGGACGUAUGCUGUUGCUGUGGCUUGGUCGUGGCUUUUCCUCUGUGAAACUCCUGUUGAAAUUUAACACAUUAUAUAGCGAGAGGUGGCACCAGGUGGGACCUCAAGAGGUGGUUAGGGCCCUGCCCUCAUGAGUGGACUAACCCAUGACGUGAUUAAUGGAUUAGUGGACCAUCUUGACAGCAGGUCUGCUAUAAAAACCCGUAUGGCUCGGCCAUUGGCACCCCUCUCAGGUGUGAUGCGCGGCACCACCGCAGUACUCCGCCGUCCACAAGCCACUGCCAGAUGCAGCUCCUCGAGACCUUGGACCAGAACCAUGAGUCAAGCCAGGUCGCCUGGCAUGUCUCCAAGGUCAAGGUGCGUGGCACUGUCUUGCCAGGAGCUGGGGACAGUUCCUUUUGACAUAUCUGUGCACUGGAAGACUGCGGCUGCCUUUUUCCAGGAGAGUGGAAGAUGGCUUCACGGGUGCAGCCAACAUCCUGGGCGAGAAAGGCAAACCUGGCCCAGCCCUCCUUCCCGAGGAGAGGACCGUGGCAGGGCAGGGGUGCAGGUGGGGACUGUCAGAGCCAGACUCUGGGGCUUUGCGCGCUGACUGAUCCACCCCUGGGGACCCGGGAGAGGGUGAAGGCUGCGACGAAUGCUGGUGGACGGCUCCUGGCAGCAGCCCCGCCCCUCCAUGGUUCCCUGUCGGAGAGCCCAGCACCAGUGCCUGGGGAUGGCAGGGCCUCGGGAGCGGCGGGGCUGAAAAGGACCAGUCCUGGCUUCUGAGAUCCCUCGUCCCCGUGCUGAGACAUCUUCCUGACAUCCAGGCUGCAACGUCAUUGAUGUAGCGUGUUUUUUUUUUUUUUUUUUUUCCUAUUAAAAACAAUGUUUUCUGAAGUCCCCAACCGGUUGAUGGUACAUUUAACAGAAAUGAGAAACAGUCAGACGAUGUCAUCGUGGUGAGGUAGAAAGCCAUUGGAGCCUGUGUGUGUGUGUCUGUCUGUCUCUAUUGGAGCGUCUCAUGUCCAGGGCCACCCUGAGCGGGACCUAAUCUGCCUCCUCUUGGCGUCCUCAGCUCUGAAAUGCGAUGGUCAGAAGGUCAGCUUGGUCACUUUAGCAUCUUUCCUGAGGCAGCAAACCCACAAGAGAACAAAUCAGUAAGCGCU
rnacentral:lncRNA from 1 species